rnacentral:rRNA from 1 species
AACCUUUGCAAUGUGCGCAAGCACGACAAGGUUAAUCCGAGUGAUUCCUGCUAAAGGAAUCUUUUGUUAGUCGUAAAACCACUAUUGAAUAAGGGGUGGGCAAGUUCUGGUGUCAGCCGCCGCGGUAAAACCAGCACCUCAAGUGGUCAGGAUGAUUAUUGGGCCUAAAGCAUCCGUAGCCUGUUCUGUAAGUUUCCGGUUAAAUCCAUUAACUCAACUAAUGGGCUGCCGAAAAUACUGCAGAACUAGGGAGUGGGAGAGGUAGACGGUACUCGGUAGGAAGGGGUAAAAUCCUUUGAUCUAUUGAUGACCACCUGUGGCGAAGGCGGUCUACCAGAACACGUUCGACGGUGAGGGAUGAAAGCUGGGGGAGCAAACCGGAUUAGAUACCCGGGUAGUCCCAGCUGUAAACGAUGCAAACUCGGUGAUGCCCUGGCUUGUGGCCAGUGCAGUGCCGCAGGGAAGCCGUUAAGUUUGCCGCCUGGGAAGUACGUACGCAAGUAUGAAACUUAAAGGAAUUGGCGGGGGAGCAC